UAAUACGAGUUGUGCAAACGUUAUUCGGAAUCACUGGGCUUAAAGGGUGCGUAGGCGGCUAUGAAAGUCAGAUGUGAAAUCCCUCGGCUCAACCGAGGAACUGCAUUUGAAACUGUAUAGCUUGAGGGAGACAGAGGUGAGCGGAACUGAUGGUGGAGCGGUGAAAUGCGUUGAUAUCAUCAGGAACACCGGUGGCGAAAGCGGCUCACUGGGUCUUAUCUGACGCUGAGGCACGAAAGCCAGGGGAGCAAACGGGAUUAGAUACCCCGGUAGUCCUGGCCGUAAACGAUGAGUACUAGUCUGUAGGGACCCCCACAUCCCUUCGGACGUAGCGAAAGUGUUAAGUACUCCGCCUGGGGAGUAUGGUCGCAAGGCUG
rnacentral:rRNA from 1 species